rnacentral:tRNA from 1 species
AGACACUUAGUUUAAACAAAACAUUUGAUUUCGGCUCAAAAACUUGAGGUUAAAUUCCGCAAGUGUCUU